GCCAACAUGACAUUAAUAUAAUUUUAUUAAUCCAUACCAAAUAGACAAAACACAUUAUUGUAAUAAAUCGAAGAAAAAUUUUCAUUUACAUAUUGCCCAUUAAAUCAACAUCAUUUUACACUCCUCUUAAACAAUAAAAAAUUAUUGUAUAAAAGAAGAUAAUUUACAACUUGUUGUCUUCAAACUAUUGGGUUGGCUAAAUCUCAAAAAUCAUUCCCAGUACUUUCUUCGUAGCCUGCAUAUUUCUUCUAGGAAAGAGCCUCCCACCUUGAAGAUACUUGGUGCUUCGACAAAACAGCAUUUGGAGUCUGUAUUUCUUCAAUCCAUAGUGAAAGAGGUAUCACCUGAAAUGUUUAGGAGAAGUUCAUUUAUAUCAUAACACCGUAAUCAACAACCAGAAGAUUGCACUAUAGUCCAGGCUACCAUAAGAGCAUGAACAGACAAAAAAAUCUCUUGUCAUCUCUAGAACUUAUGUUAAAUGCCUUCUGACCUAGAUGGAACUUCGGUAAAUUUUACCAAGAGAUUAUGUGUGUGGUGUCAAUAAAUAUAUGCUAGAAUCAAGUAGGAAUGACAGGGACUAAACUGCGCACUUUCAAUUAUCUAUAUAACUCAUAUCAAACGUUAUCAUAUAUCACGUCUCAAGAGUGUGUUCUUUAGAGUCCAAUUAUUGGAGAUACUUUGUCUGUGUAGAUAGAGUACACUAUUGACAAAAGUCGUUGCCAUCAUUUUAAUUCAUGUACGUAGGAAAUGCACGAAAUCAUAUUGACAACAACUAGGAGAGGUUCCCUAUUGCAACUACUUCUCCUCUUUAAGGGCCUUAUCAAUAAAUCUAGAUAGACAAUUUAACCCAUAGAUAGAGGUUCCUUCUUUGUUUUUGGUUGAACCAACACUAGAUAAAUUACGAAAUGAAUUACAAAAAGUAACCCAUAACAGCAAAGUAUAUACUAGAAUAAAAGGCAGUACAAAUGCACUCUUGAGCUUUAAAGAGGCAUCUCUCGCCAAAACAACUUAUAAUAUUUUGAAUGACUAACAGAUCCCCACCCCUUUUAUUGGCCCUAACAGCUUAUUUUCAGAAAUCCCUAAUAUUAUGCCCCCACUAAUUUAAACAGCUCCCUCACUUAACAGGCUCCAUCUCACGAAACCCCAUGUUUCUUUCCUAUUAAAUACAAUUUUAUUUUGCAGAGAAUAAGAAUGGAUAAAGUCCACUAUGUUCAGAAGCAUAGCCAGAUGGCUGGUAUUGAUCAUUAUUCAUUCUUUUACAAGUCUAUGAAGGAACUUGUAGGCGAUGGAAACUUAAUUAGGUGAGCUCACUUAGUACAUCCUAAAUGCACUGCUCAUCAAGCUCACUUCCAUCUUUCAAUCACUAGUCAUUGCAAUCAGAACAUUUUGAAUAGAACUAUUCAAUAAGAUGCCUAGGAGCCCUAUCAUUAAAAGGGUUAGGCAAAAUCGCACAAUACAAUAUCGGUCAUACUGAUUGACUCUACAAAAUUAUGAGACUCGACAAGUAUAUUUAUAUAUCCAAAAAAAUUCCUACUGAAAAAAGGACUAGAAACUCAAACUCGGAAAGUUAAAGAUUUAUAAUCUUUAACUGCUAUAGAUUAUUCUCC
rnacentral:lncRNA from 1 species